AGGAAGAAUGAGUCAGGAUGGUAGUGAUUCUUGGCCACAGGAGGAUCUUCUGGGCUUUCCAAGGUGCUGGAUUAGUGGUAUGCACCACCAUGCCCGGCUGACAGCUGACUUUUAAACCAGUAGUUCACCCAGAAGUUAGAGGACUACCUGUCGGGGCUGCAAAGGAGUUCACCAUUGGAGGGGCCUGUGACCAGUGUGGUGGAGCCUGGGGCUUCUAUGGUGAAUU
rnacentral:lncRNA from 1 species